UCUACCACUGACAACAUCGAGGCGCCACCGUCAACAGGGGGCGGCUGAGGGGAGGCCGGGGUCGCUGCUAGGGGCAGCCCUGGGGGCUGGCGGGGCCCUUGGAGCGGGGCCCGCGGCCAGUUGGGUGCCGGGGGAAGGGGCCCGGCCGGCCGUGCCCGGUGCCGGGGGAAGGGCCCGGCCGCGGCCCCAGGGCCCGGCCACAGCGCAUGCGUCAGGGCGGGGUGUGCGCGGGCCGGCCGGCAGGGGGCGCCAGCGAGCCGCGCGCUUCACGCAUGCGCCGUGCGUCCUUGCGGCGGCCUCCGACGGCCCACACAGGCCGGCCCGGCCCGGCCCGGCCCCACCGGGCUCCCCAGAGACCCCGCGGGGCAGCGCCGCCAGGCGGCGGCGGCAACGGCAACAGCGCGCAGGCGACAGGACAGAAGUGACGGGCGGCGCGCUGAUGUCGCCACCGGAAGCACUGUGACGCUACUUCCGGCUGGUCGGGCUGUCAUGGCGGCUUGGGGCUCAGAUGGUCGCCGACAAGAAGAACCCAGGGACGAGCAGCGGUUGGGUGAACGUCGGGCGGGCUCGGUGUGCCCCCGGCGCGGGGCGACGGAGCCUCGUCCGUCCCGGCGCAGCCCAGUUUCCCGUCCCGCUCACCCCCACAGGCUCGCGGCGCCCCCGGCCUUGCCGGCGGAGGGGUGCCCGGCUUUAAAUGACGUCAUCUCAGGCUGGUACUGACGCUUUUUACACUUUGUUUUAUUUAUCCAGUUCUCUGGGACCAGCAUGCUCAGUGUAAAGAGUUGCGGUCACUUCUGUCUGUGUAUUUUACGUUUUGUUCUUUUUGCAGAAAUAUUUUGUCUAUUUACUCUCAUCCGUCUCCACCCCACCCCCAAUUUUGUAUAAUUUUACAGCCUCUAAUUGCAACAAAUAGCUGAAUAAAGUAGUGAUUGAAGUCAAACUAAGUGUCUCAUCACACAACCCUUUGGAAGAGAAACAAACACCCCAAACGCCCUCGGGUGGUUUGCGGUCUCUCUGGGGUGACUGGGUAAAUCCUCAGGAAAUCUCACAUUUUUCAUGUUGUUCCUGCAAGUUAAUACCUUGAAACGUCAUCUUCAAACAGAGGAAAAUGUUCUAAUUUGUAACAAGAGCAAGCUGACAGCAGGUAGUUUUUUCCUCUCAGUUGUUGUAAUCCUUUCCCUUGGUUAUAUUUAAUGUAGAAAAAAUCUAUAUACUUACAGCGGUGGAUGGUACAUAUGUGAGCCAUUGUUUGGUAAACAGGUGAGAUUCCUGUUAUUUGUAAAGUAAUUUUAUUUCCUUUUUUUUGGUGCUGUUGCUGUUCCUAUCCAAUAUUUUUGCAUCGGGUUAUAGAACAACUGAAGAAAAGGUCCGUGUGGUGGCAGCUGCUGCCGAAACAUGAAGCAGAAUUCAUGGGUGUCUGUCACCUGCCAAAUAAGGCAGCUGGAACAGCCUAUCUGCAGCAAACCUGACAAGCGCACUAGAUCUCCGCUACGUCACGAGCGUUUGGUUGAAGAUGUGCGUUCAGGCUCACGCCCUGGAGAAAAGCAUUACUGUCGUGUACCACAUUUCACAAGCAGUGAUAUAUUCAAUAAGAACAUAAGAAUUCACGCUGUGGAAAUGGGCUUUGCAAUCAGUGUGGCCUUGAGCCACCCCCUGGGUGUGACGGCUCGGGGUGGUACCAAACUUCUACCUUUUCGAUGUCACCCAUAAGGUACUUGCAGGCGAUGCUGGGAAGGCCCUUCCAGUGGAGCGUGAAGACGACAUCUUUGCCUAUGUCCACGGAGGGACCUGCAGCCAAAGGAGAAGAGUGAAUGCCUGCAAAAAGAGCCGGCAGUGAAGGCAGUACAGUGGUCAGACCCCUUGGAAGAAAAUAUCCUGUCGUUUGCUUGAGCAUGUAAUACGAGUUUUACCAGAGAACAGUGAAUCGCAGGCUGCUUUUUUACCCCGAAGAGCAGGAAGUUCUCACUUUUAGACAAAAUGGUUUUAAGUUUUGGCAGCUCAGUUUGAAGAAGGUGGGGACUGAUCAAUGAUGACAAUUCUGUGGAGUCACUGAUUUGUUUAAGUGCAACAGCUGCAGCAAUGAUGAAGCCAACUAACAACAGGAUAUCUGAGAGUUCAGCAAGAGAAACGAAGAGUUGAAAUGCUGCUGAAUUCCCACGGCGAAGGUGGACCUUGGCACGUUGUUACAGAACGCAGAGUCAUUGUCGCAGCUGCCACUGCAGUCUCUUUUGUGAGAGUGUCAAAUGAAUAUACCCCGGAGCCAGACAAAACCACAGAGCUCUCCGGUUCCAGGCCCAGGGUCUGACAGGGCUGUUGUACGAGAUGUUUGAACUGAGCAAAUAUAAAAAGGAGGUGGGGUGGCUGUUUUCUUUACAUCUUUCCCCGUCUUAAAAGGAGACAUGUAAAACCAUUCUUCAUGUCUGUGUUGGCUCUUAAAAGCCUUAAAUAAUGUGGAAAAAAGGCUUAAAGCUUAAAAAAAAGCUUAAAGCGUAAAAGCCUAAAAUCUCUGGGGCAAUCAGUUGCAUUCCAACACUGUUAAAUAGUUAAGGGUCAUUUUGCCAGAGUGAAAAAUGUCAAAGUAUUUUGACUGUACAAUUUCUGCUUUUUAAAUUAAACUAAUAAUAAUUCAGCUUACUCGCCUAAGGAGAAGGGAGUGGAAUCUCCUAGCAGUCUACCAGCCUGUUACUUACUGUGUACCAUUCCGGUUUGUAAAUUGGAAUAACCCCAGGCACCAGUACCUGCUGGGGCUGACCAGCUGGAAAGCAGCUUUGCAGAGGGCCUGGGGCUGCUGCUAGACGCUAGCCCUGGGCCAGGAACAUGCCCUUGCAGCAAAGGCAGCCAAGAGGCUGCAUUAAGAAUCGUUGCCAGCAUGUCCAGGGGGGUGAUGAGCACUGGGGAGACGCCUGGGGGUGUCUAGGCUCCCCACGGUAAGACAGGGACAUAGUGACAUGAGUCCAGCAAAGGGCCACGAAGAUAUUAAGUGUCUGUUGUACCAGCAGAGUCUGAGAGCUGGGACUGUUUAGCCUGGAGAAGAGACAGCUCCAGGAGGAAUCUCGGUGUGUAUGAACACCUGCUGCUCAGACUAAAGAUGGAUCCAGACUCUUCAGAGUGGUGCCUAGCGAAAGGAAAAGUAGCGGACACAAUUUGAAAUACGGGAAUUGCCACUUGAACAAAAAACCCAUAGUGAGUGUGAUCAAGCACUGCAACAGGAUGCCCAGAAAGGUUGUGGGACAUCCUUGGAGAUACUCAAAACCCAACUGGACGCAGUCCUGGAGAACCUGCUCUAGGUGACCUCGCUGUGAGCA